ACCUUGCUGACGAGUACCAAAUAGCACGAAACCUUAGUCCAGGGU
rfam:Schistosoma haematobium scaffold561_8, whole genome shotgun sequence.